UCAAAAGUCACCCUCUUCCUCUCAUAAUUACUGGUGCUAUUGUUGUUAUUGUUGUGAGGCUGGUAAGCCUGUUGUUGUUGAUGAUGUUGUUGUUGUGGUUGUUGAGCUUCUUUGAAAGCAGGUGCAAUAUGAGCCACCUGGUGUUGCUUGACAACCGGACGCACUUCCUUCCUCCUUACAGAUGGCCUUCUUUUAACAUGGGAAGAAACAUCAUGAGUCUCCCCUUCCUUCUUC
rnacentral:lncRNA from 1 species